ACCAAUGUAGAUAUCAUGGCCAAGACACUAAUUGGCCACAUUUCUGAUUCGGAACCAAAACGAUUCGGAUCUUACGCUGAGCUCUUUCAUUAUGAGGAUUCUCCAGACUGUUGGCUCAUGCAUGAAUUUUACAAAG
rnacentral:sRNA from 1 species